rnacentral:rRNA from 1 species
UACGUAGGGUGCAAGCGUUGUCCGGAAUUAUUGGGCGUAAAGAGCUUGUAGGCGGUUUGUCGCGUCUGCUGUGAAAUUUCGGGGCUCAACCCCGAACUUGCAGUGGGUACGGGCAGACUAGAGUGUGGUAGGGGAGACUGGAAUUCCUGGUGUAGCGGUGAAAUGCGCAGAUAUCAGGAGGAACACCAAUGGCGAAGGCAGCUCACUGGGACGGUAUUGACGCUGAGACGCGAAAGCGUGGGGAGCAAACAGG